rnacentral:lncRNA from 1 species
UUACUUGUCGUCGUUCUGUCUUAGAUGGAUAUUGCCUGUAGUAGUUCGAAGCAACGUGUCUCAGGCAAUACCUAUGGUGUGUAUGCUACCACAAGCUUCCCUCUCGAUCAAAUGCAGCUAGUAUACCGGCGCCCCGAUCUGAAAUAACACAGAUAUCAGGUUGGGGGCACACAUGCCUCCUUAACCUAGAGAGAAAGAAAUCUCAGUCAUCAGACGACUCCCCCGGUGUUAUUGCAUAUGUAAUUGG